CCUACGGGGUGCAGCAGUGGGGAAUAUUGCGCAAUGGGGGCAACCCUGACGCAGCAACGCCGCGUGAUUGAAGACGGCCCUCGGGUUGUUAAGAUCCUUAAUCGGGGACGAAAUUUGACGGUACCCGAAGAAUAAGCUCCGGCUAACUACGUGCCAGCAGCCGCGGUAAUACGCAGGGAGCAAGCGUUAUCCGGAUUUACUGGGGGUAAAGGGCGUGUAGGCGGGCAUGCAGGCCGGAAGUGAAAUCUGGGGGCUUAAGCCCCAAACUGCUGUUGGAACUGCGUGUCUUGAGUGAGGGAGAGGCAGGCGGAAUGCGCGGUGUAGCGGUGAAAUGCGUAGAUAUUAGGAAGAACACCGAUGGCGAAGGCGGCAUGCUGGAGAUUAACUGACGCUGAGGCGCGAAAGCGUGGGGAGCGAACAGGAUUAGAUACCCCAGUAGUC
rnacentral:rRNA from 1 species